UACGUAGGGUCCGAGCGUUGUCCGGAAUUACUGGGCGUAAAGAGCUCGUAGGUGGUUUGUCGCGUUGUUCGUGAAAACUCACAGCUUAACUGUGGGCGUGCGGGCGAUACGGGCAGACUUGAGUACUGCAGGGGAGACUGGAAUUCCUGGUGUAGCGGUGGAAUGCGUAGAUAUCCGGAAGAACACCGGAGGCGAAGGCGGCUUGCUGGACCUGGUCUGACGCUGAGGCGCGAAAGCGUGGGGAGCGAACAGG
rnacentral:rRNA from 1 species